rnacentral:rRNA from 1 species
UUUAUUUACCUUGUUGCUUCGGCGAGCCUGCCUUUUGGCUGCCGGGGGACGUCAGNCCCCGGGUCCGUGCUCGCCGGAGACACCUUAGAACUCUGUCUGAAGAUUGUAGUCUGAGAUUAAAUAUAAAUUAUUUAAAACUUUCAACAACGGAUCUCUUGGUUCCGGCAUCGAUGAAGAACGCAGCGAAAUGCGAUACGUAAUGUGAAUUGCAGAAUUCAGUGAAUCAUCGAGUCUUUGAACGCACAUUGCGCCCUCUGGUAUUCCGGAGGGCAUGCCUGUCCGAGCGUCAUUGCUGCCCUCAAGCACGGCUUGUGUGUUGGGCCCCGUCCUCCUUCCGGGGGACGGGUCCGAAAGGCAGCGGCGGCACCGCGUCCGGUCCUCAAGCGUAUGGGGCUUUGUCACUCGCUUUGUAGGCCUGGCCGGCGCUUGCCGAUCAACCAAACUUUUUAUCAGGUUGACCUCGGAUCAGGUAGGGAUACCCGCUGAACUUAAGCAUAUCAAUAAGCGGAGGAAAAGAAACCAACAGGGAUUACCUCAGUAACGGCGAGUGAAGCGGUAAGAGCUCAAAUUUGAAAGCUGGCUCCUUCGGGGUCCGCAUUGUAAUUUGCAGAGGAUGCUUCGGGAGCGGUCCCCAUCUAAGUGCCCUGGAACGGGACGUCAUAGAGGGUGAGAAUCCCGUAUGGGAUGGGGUGUCCGCGCCCGUGUGAAGCUCCUUCGACGAGUCGAGUUGUUUGGGAAUGCAGCUCUAAAUGGGUGGUAAAUUUCAUCUAAAGCUAAAUAUUGGCCGGAGACCGAUAGCGCACAAGUAGAGUGAUCGAAAGAUGAAAAGCACUUUGAAAAGAGAGUUAAAAAGCACGUGAAAUUGUUGAAAGGGAAGCGCUUGCGACCAGACUCGCUCGCGGGGUUCAGCCGGCAUUCGUGCCGGUGUACUUCCCCGCGAGCGGGCCAACGUCGGUUUGGGCGGUCAGUCAAAGGCCCCUGGAAGGUAACGC